UUAACUCAAAUUUGUAGGCGUGUAAACGUUUGCCUACGUUUGCCGCUAGGGGCGCUGUUCCAACUGCAUACAAAUUCGAGUUA
rnacentral:pre_miRNA from 1 species